rnacentral:rRNA from 1 species
AAGUCUGAUGGAGCAACGCCGCGUGAGUGAUGAAGGUUUUCGGAUCGUAAAACUCUGUUGUAAGGGAAGAACCAGUACGUCAGGCAAUGGACGUACCUUGACGGUACCUUAUUAGAAAGCCACGGCUAACUACGUGCCAGCAGCCGCGGUAAUACGUAGGUGGCGAGCGUUGUCCGGAUUUACUGGGCGUAAAGGGUGCGUAGGCGGAUAUUUAAGUCAGAUGUGAAAACCCCGGGCUUAACUUGGGGACUGCAUUUGAAACUGGAUAUCUAGAGUGCAGGAGAGGAAAGCGGAAUUCCUAGUGUAGCGGUGAAAUGCGUAGAGAUUAGGAAGAACACCAGUGGCGAAGGCGGCUUUCUGGACUGUAACUGACGCUGAGGCACGAAAGCGUGGGUAGCAAACA